AGUGAACGCUGGCGGCAGGCCUAACACAUGCAAGUCGAACGGCAGCACAGUAAGAGCUUGCUCUUACGGGUGGCGAGUGGCGGACGGGUGAGGAAUACAUCGGAAUCUACUUUUUCGUGGGGGAUAACGCAGGGAAACUUACGCUAAUACCGCAUACGACCUACGGGUGAAAGCAGGGGAUCUUCGGACCUUGCGCGAGUGAAUGAGCCGAUGUCGGAGUAGCUAGUGGGCGGGGUAAAGGCUCACCAAGGCGACGAUCCGUAGCUGGUCCGAGAGGAAGGUCAGGCACACGGGAACUGAGGCACGUUCCCGACUCCUGCGGUGGGCAGCAGUCGGGAAUCUUGCACAAUGCACGCAAGCCUAAUCCAGCCAUACCGCGUGGGUGAAGAAGGCCUUCUGCUUGUAGAACCCUUUUGUUGGGAGAGAAAAACAGCUGGUUAAUCCCCCGCUGUUCUGACGGUACCCAAAGAAUAAGCCCCGGCUAACUUCGUG
rnacentral:rRNA from 1 species